UACGGGGGGGCAAGCGUUGUUCGGAAUUACUGGGCGUAAAGAGCUCGUAGGCGGUGUGUCGCGUCGGCCGUGAAAACCUGCAGCUUAACUGUGGGCUUGCGGUCGAUACGGGCAUCACUGGAGUUCGGCAGGGGAGACUGGAAUUCCUGGUGUAGCGGUGAAAUGCGCAGAUAUCAGGAGGAACACCGGUGGCGAAGGCGGGUCUCUGGGCCGAUACUGACGCUGAGGAGCGAAAGCGUGGGGAGCGAACAGG
rnacentral:rRNA from 1 species